rnacentral:rRNA from 1 species
GUGGUGCCAGCGUGGUGUGCCUGGCCUUGGUGGUAUGGCUAGGGUAUGCUUCUUUCCGAGGGGCUGCCUUCAGUCUGCCGCCCUUGUUGCGUGUACACGUAGCAAGUGACCGUUCUUCUCCCUCGGAGACGGAGUCUGUCCUUCACUGGAUGGGCUUUGGAUGCGAGGUGUUUACUUUGAAAAAAUUAGAGUGUUCAAAGCAGGCCUUAUCUUCGCUUGAAUACAUUAGCAUGGAAUAAUGGAAUAGGACUCUGUGCCUAUUUUGUUGGUUUGAAGGCAGAGAGUAAUGAUUAAUAGGGACAGUUGGGGGCAUUCGUAUUUAAUUGUCAGAGGUGAAAUUCUUGGAUUUCUGAAAGACGAACAACUGCGAAAGCAUUUGCCAAGGAUGUUUUCAUUAAUCAAGAACGAAAGUUAGGGGUUCGAAGACGAUCAGAUACCGUCGUAGUCCUAACCAUAAACAAUGCCGACUAGGGAUCAGCGUACGUUCGUUCUAUGGGACGUCGUUGGCACCUUACGAGAAAUCAAGAGUUUUUGGGUUCUGGGGGGAGUAUGGUCACAAGGCUGAAACUUAAAGGAAUUGACGGAAGGGCACCACCAGGAGUGGAGCCUGCGGCUUAAUUUGACUCAACACGGGAAAACUCACCAGGUCCGGACAUAGUGAGGAU